rnacentral:rRNA from 1 species
CCUACGGGAGGCAGCAGUGGGGAAUAUUGGACAAUGGGGGGAACCCUGAUCCAGCCAUGCCGCGUGUGUGAAGAAGGCCCUCGGGUUGUAAAGCACUUUCAGUGAGGAAGAACGCCUGGUGGUUAAUACCCAUCAGGAAAGACAUCACUCACAGAAGAAGCACCGGCUAACUCCGUGCCAGCAGCCGCGGUAAUACGGAGGGUGCGAGCGUUAAUCGGAAUUACUGGGCGUAAAGCGCGCGUAGGUGGCUUGAUAAGCCGGUUGUGAAAGCCCCGGGCUCAACCUGGGAACGGCAUCCGGAACUGUCAAGCUAGAGUGCAGGAGAGGAAGGUAGAAUUCCCGGUGUAGCGGUGAAAUGCGUAGAGAUCGGGAGGAAUACCAGUGGCGAAGGCGGCCUUCUGGACUGACACUGACACUGAGGUGGGAAAGCGUGGGUAGCAAACAGGAUUAGAUACCCGUGUAGUC